AUUGAACGCUGGCGGCAGGCCUAACACAUGCAAGUCGAGCGGGGGAAGGUAGCUUGCUACCGGACCUAGCGGCGGACGGGUGAGUAAUGCUUAGGAAUCUGCCUAUUAGUGGGGGACAACAUAUCGAAAGGGAUGCUAAUACCGCAUACGUCCUACGGGAGAAAGCAGGGGAUCUUCGGACCUUGCGCUAAUAGAUGAGCUUAAGUCGGAUUAGCUAGUUGGUGGGGUAAAGGCCUACCAAGGCGACGAUCUGUAGCGGGUCUGAGAGGAUGAUCCGCCACACUGGGACUCAGACACGGCCCAGACUCCUACGGGAGGCAGCAGUGGGGAAUAUUGGACAAUGGGGGGAACCCUGAUCCAGCCAUGCCGCGUGUGUGAAGAAGGCCUUAUGGUUGUAAAGCACUUUAAGCGAGGAGGAGGCUACUUUAGUUAAUACCUAGAGAUAGUGGACGUUACUCGCAGAAUAAGCACCGACUAACUCUGUGCCAGCAGCCGCAGUAAAAC
rnacentral:rRNA from 1 species